AGCGACUGGUUCAGCGCCAUAUCGGGCAGGAUGUCGGGCCUACUCACGACCCAUUUUCGGGGAAGGAAAAAGAGAUUGAAUUUGCUGAUACAUAGUUUCAAGUAUGUUUACUUUUACCUGAGAUGUUACUUCUUUUUCACUAUUUCAUGAAUUAUGUCAUGUAUGUUACUAGUUGAUGUUGAGCAGUAUUGAAUUGGAUGCUUUGUUUUGUUAGCAUCUAGUAUUUCGGUGCUUAAAGAUAUUAUCUUUUUAAUGCAUUAGAUAUCAAAUUGUGGAAAUCAACCAAGCUAGUGAUUGCAUUCUCAGUUCUCAAUCCCUGCAAAACUCCAUUGUUCGCUGCCGCGAGAAGUUGAAUCUACAGAUUCUAAACAGUCACUCUUGUGGUUGAUGGUUUUGAGUUUCGGAAUGUUGCUUAUUUGUUUUCAUUGCCUUCAUCUUGUUGGAGUUUGUUAGAUCUAAUGUAUAUAGAAAAUGAUGACUACUUGCCACGUCUUGUUGGAGUUCUGUGUAGAUUUUCGUGUGAUGGCAGAGAAUUUAAAUGUUUAUAAAGGAGCUUGUACUUCGCUUUUUGAAUUUGGUAAGUCGUGCAUGAGGAAGAAUUGAACUGGGGGGAUUUCAGUACUAAAAAUGCAAUCACUGAACUAGGAGUAGAUAUCUGUUUAAAUUUUUGUUUCCUUGUUGACUGAGACGGAAUAUAGGUAUAGAUAGGUACUUACAAUUACGGACAUGAAAUAGGUAAUAUCGGAAUAUAUGUGGUUGGUCAUAUGUACAAGUACUUCCUAAUUGGAUUCCAAGUAUCGGUACUUUCAAUUAGGGACAUUUUAUAGGUAUAUCAGAAUAUAUGUCGCUGGUCAUUUGUUUAAGUACUUCCAAUUAGGGACAUGUAAGAGUGGUGGUUUUUGGUGCGUCUUUCUGCUCUAGUAUACACAAGUUGCCAUGAAAGUUUUGUUUCAGUGUAAAGAACUGUUAAGUUUUUUGCAGCAUGGCUGUUGGAGUUCAUAUUUUCAUGGAGCUUACUACGGUUUCUAUGCUUUUCUUUCAUAUAAAUUUGACUUUCUGUUCUUUGAAUGUUCUUUUAUUUUCCCCCUUUUCGUUUGCAUAGUUGAGGGGGAAGUGUUGGUUGGUGUUGACGUUUAUGCUAUUUUUUUCAAGGAAGAUGUUUGUGCUGUUUACCUCUUUUUUUUUUUCUUUUUUUUUUAAUGUACUUUUUUCAAAUGAAAAGAAAAUCAUAUCAUAUCAUAUCAUUUUAGGUUUCUCCUUGAAAUUACGUGCUCUAUCAAGAACUCGUGUUGAUAUGAGCCCUUUUUUCAAAAAAUAGGUCCGGAACCCGAAUUCUUGGCAUGUUUUUACAUCCGAUGCUUUCUUUCCCUCUUGACCAAUACGUACUAGGUUUUCACCUGUUUAUCUCAUCUGUAUGCAGUUGGAACUUAGGGUGUGGCAAAAAUCAAACCUAUCUGAAGUUGGGGAACCCAGAGAAUUUAAAAGCCGGAAGCUCACUGUUGGAAUCACAAGUUUCUUGUGUGACAAGCAUCGUUCCUACAGCAUCGGGUGGACAGAGUUUCGAGCAUUUCAACUGGAACUUCAAUGAUGGACAAAACACACUCUGGUGGAGAUAAAUAUGACUAGUCACCGUUCCUGGAUAGCAUUAAAGCUUUAAUGUAACAAUGUUGAUGUGAGCAAAUUUGGAAACAACACCUCUGUAUUUAAACGACACCGGAGACUUUUGCGAAUGCACAACUGAUGCAGUCGGAUUUCUUUGACGGUUUGUACUCCUAAUUUUCUGGUUGAAUCGAGGGUGACUGAGAGUUUCGUGUAAGUAACUUUGCUUGGAUGCUCAUGAAUCGUGAUAUGGUCAAUAGGUUAAAGAAAAAUACAAGCUUGAAUAUGCUUACUUGGGGUCAUGACACAACUGGGGGGAUUUGAGUACUAAAAAUGGGAUCACUGAGUUAUGAGUGCAUAUCUGUUCAAAUUUUUGUUUUGCUGGUGAAUGAGACGGAGGCGGCCUAGAAAGCUCAACAUAUCGGACGUUGAUAGGUACUUACAAUUACGGACAUGUUAUUCGUAAUAGGUAUAUCGGAAUAUAUGUAGUUGGUAUAAGAGCAUUUUCAGUGGAGUCCCUAUAUAGAGACAAUCAACGUAUAAAAUGAGCAUACAACAAAUAUAAGGACAAAAUGAAUCUCUAAUGGAUCGGAAAGUGAGUCCCUAAAGUAUAGAGACUUGCCGGAUAUUUGGUAUAUGUACCCACAUAUAGGGACUAAAAUGGUGAACCCAAUAGAACAAUUUAAGUGAAAAAGUAGGCAUGGGUCCCUGUCACAUGGCCUUGUCUUUUCUUUCUUUCUUUUCAAUCGUUUCAAUGGAGUGUCCAUAUUGAUUCUUGCUUUUUAGAUUCUUUUACCAUUGAAAGAUCAACGGUUCCAAUUAAAUAACCGUUUUAAUUUAGGUUACUCUCUCAUGUUGGUUUCCAAUUUUUUUUACUCUUUUCAUAUUGCUUCGCUUAAGCAAGUGGUCUCGGUUUCGAACCCUUGUGGAUGCAGAAAACUUUCUUGGAAGAGGAGAAACCUAAAAAAACAAUUUCAAUUUGGGCUACUCUCUCGUGUUGUUCUCUCAUCAUUCUUAUAAAUACCAAAUUAUCUAACUAAAACUUACCACAACUUCAUCUCUUAUACUUAGUUCACUCGUCGUACUCAAUUCACUCAUUCUAGUUACGUUUUUGUGAAGAAGAAAAAUUGGUGUCAGAAUUUGAUUUUUUAUUUUAUUUUUGGUUAAAAUGUUCAAAAAAAUAUAUUAUGAGAAUGUAAUGUUAAAUUAAUUAAAAAAAUAUGCACCUAAUCAAACUAUCACAUAAAAUUGUAAAAAAAACUCAAAUUUAGAUAUUCUACUAUGAGGACUCUCCCAUUAGAGGUAAUAUUCCUUUAGGGACACAACGAUUCCCUUUAAGUCUUUAAAUGAGUACUCAAGGGUGGUGGUGGGAGUCCUUAAACAGGGACUCCCAUUAAAGAUGCUCUAAGUACUUGUGAUGAGAUGCCAAGUAUCGGUACUCUCGAUUAGGGACAUUUUAUAGGUAUAUCAGAAAAUAUGUGUCGCUGGUAAUUUGUAUAUGUACUUCCAAUUAGGGACACCUAAUAGUAAUAGUGUUUCUUUGAGGGUGUCUCUUUUCUGCUGUAGUAGACAUAAGUUGCCAUGAAAGUUUGGCUUCAGCGCAAAGAAGUAUAUGUUUUUUGCAGCGUGGUCUGUGGGUUAUUGGUGUUUUGGAGUUCAUAUUUUCAUGGAGCUUACUAUGGUUUCUAUGCUUUCCUUUCAUAUAACUUUGACUUUCCGGUCUUUGAAUCUUCUUUUAGGGGUUUUUUUUUUUUUUUUUUUUUAAGGGGAACAAUUGGUGGCAAGCCACAGUUAUCCACCCCUUCCGGGAGCUGGGAAAUAUUCUUUUAGUUUCUCCCCUUUUCGUUUGCAGAGUUGAGGUGGAAGGUUAGGUUUGUUUUGAAGUUUGUGCUGUUUUUUUUUCAAGGAAGACGUUUGUGCUGUUUACCUCUCUUCUUUUUUAUGUAUUAUUUUCAAAUGAAAAAAAAAAAUCAUAUCAUAUCAUAUCAUAUUAGGUUUCUCCUUGAAAUUUCUUGCUCUAUCAAGAAAUCGUGUUGAUAUGAACCCUCUUUCAAAGAAUAGCUCCAGAACCCAAAUUCUUGACAUAUUUUUACGUCCGAUGCGCUAUCUUUUUCUCUUGAUCAUAUGUAAUAGGUGUUCACUUUGUUUAUCUCAAUUGUAUGCAGUUGUAACUUAGGAUCUGGCGAAUAUCAAACCUAUCUGAAGUUGGGGAACCCAGAGAAUUUAAAAGCCGGAAGCUUGUCCUACAGCAUCGGGUGGACAGAGUUUCAAGCAUUCCAACUGGGACUUCAAUGAUGGACAAAACACACACUCUGGUGGAGAUAAAUAUGACUAGUCACCGUUCCUGGAUAGCAUUAAAGCUUUAAUGUAACAAUGUUGGUGUGAGCAAAUUUGGAAACAACACCUCUGUAUUUAAACGACACCGGAGACCUUUGCGAAUGCAGAAGUGUUGCAGUCGGAUUUCUUUGACGGUUUGUACUCCUAAUUUACUGGUUGAAUCGAAGGUGAC
rnacentral:lncRNA from 1 species